GAGACGCUGGCGGCAUGCCUAAUACAUGCAAGUCGAACGCGGCCAUCCGGUGCUUGCACUGGUGAAGCCGAGUGGCGAACGGGUGAGUAACACGUGAGAAACCUGCCCUGGAGUGGGGAAUAACUCGAAGAAAUUCGAGCUAAUACCGCAUACCUUCUCUUCACCGCAUGGUGAGUUGAAGAAAGAUUUAUCGCUCUAGGAGGGUCUCGCGGCCUAUCAGCUAGUUGGUGAGGUAAUGGCUCACCAAGGCAUCGACGGGUAGCUGGUCUGAGAGGACGAUCAGCCACACUGGGACUGAGACACGGCCCAGACUCCUACGGGAGGCAGCAGUAGGGAAUCUUGCGCAAUGGGCGAAAGCCUGACGCAGCAAUGCCGCGUGCGGGACGAAGGCCCUAGGGUCGUAAACCGCUUUCAGUAGGGACGAAAAUGACGGUACCUGCAGAAGAAGCUCCGGCCAACUACGUG
rnacentral:rRNA from 1 species